rnacentral:rRNA from 1 species
UACGUAGGGCGCAAGCGUUAUCCGGAAUUAUUGGGCGUAAAGAGCUCGUAGGCGGUUUGUCGCGUCUGCCGUGAAAGUCCGGGGCUCAACUCCGGAUCUGCGGUGGGUACGGGCAGACUAGAGUGAUGUAGGGGAGACUGGAAUUCCUGGUGUAGCGGUGAAAUGCGCAGAUAUCAGGAGGAACACCGAUGGCGAAGGCAGGUCUCUGGGCAUUAACCGACGCUGAGGAGCGAAAGCAUGGGGAGCGAACAGG